AAAAUCCGUUGGUUUUAAACAGCCGUGAGGGUUCGAGUCCCUCUAUCCCCA
rnacentral:tRNA from 1 species